AGCUUUUCGGAUCCGUGCUGAGAUUUCGUCAGACACGAACCCAUUAGGGCUGAUCAGACUUUCAAGAUAAGUGAAGUU
rfam:Schistosoma rodhaini strain Burundi genome assembly, scaffold: SROB_scaffold0018952